GAAUGAAGUGAAACAAAUUUUACUGACUCAAAAAUACCAGCCUAAAUUCAUCCCUUCCACAAAAUGAAGGAAACCCGUUUGUUGCCUUGAGUAUAGCUAAUUUUACUAAACAGAGAUUUCUAUUUAUUUAUUUAUUUAUUUAUUGUCUUAUAAAGGUCAAAUAAAGACUAUACAAAAUAGAUGACUUUAUUUCCAUUAUCUUGAUUCUGAUCAAAUUAAAAUUUGCUGCUGAACUGACUUUUUUUUAUUCUUGAGUGUUCAGACUAACAAUAUGAAUUUCAUCAUAUAUUUUUUUCUCAGUGUCUGAAAAUGUUUUGGACACAAUGCAUGGGAAAAGCAGAUGGAAUGCAUGGGAAAAGCAACUGGCUUACGUGGCUUCCACAUGAUGUUGCUCAGUGCUAUGCCUCAGCAGAACUAAGUUGAAAACCUGAUACAGAAUACUGUGGCUUUUAUCAAAGGAAUGUAAGGAGAGGGACAGGCUGCAGCAGCAUACUGCAGAAUAAUAGCUGAGAAUGUGAAAUGAGUUAACAGUGCCACUGUCAAAAGUCUUCAGGAAAAAAAAAUGUGGUGCAAGUGGUUACGACUAACAAGUUCUGACCUCUACUUUAACAACAUCUACUGGGAUUACAUUUUAAGAUACAUUUUAAGAUACAGAUGGUUUUGCAUUUUUGCUAAAAUAAGUAUGUUCAGAUUUGUUUUAAUGGCAAUUGAGAGUGGUGAUACGUGUUCUAAAAAGUUGAUGUGUUUGUAUGGAUUUUUUUUUCUAGAAAAAUACUGCUUUUAAGAUUGUAGAGGAAGUACAAAAAAUUCACAGAAAUGUCAGUGUAAAAGAUGUAAUGAAUUUAUGA
rnacentral:lncRNA from 1 species